rnacentral:rRNA from 1 species
UACGUAGGGUGCAAGCGUUGUCCGGAAUUAUUGGGCGUAAAGAGCUCGUAGGCGGUUUGUCGCGUCUGGUGUGAAAAUCCAGGGCUUAACCCCUGGACCUGCAUCGGGUACGGGCAGACUAGAGUGCGGUAGGGGAGAUCGGAAUUCCUGGUGUAGCGGUGAAAUGCGCAGAUAUCAGGAAGAACACCAGUGGCGAAGGCGGUGCUCUGGGCCGGAACUGACGCUGAGGAGCGAAAAGCGUGGGGAGCAAACAGG